AAGUUGUUCGCUUUCAUCCUGCUCGGGUUAGCUGAUGACUGAAUAGGGGCAGCUGUAACACCCCAAAAUUUAUCCUCCUCAUUCAUGCAUUCAUUUUUAGGUCAUUUAAUAUUUCAUAUUGCAUUUCAUCAUGUCAAUCAGAAUCAGAUCCAAGAAACUUUAUUUAAAAAAAAAAAAAACGAAAAAAAAAAAAUUUAAAUAAAUAAAUAAAUAAAAUAUAAUAGAAAA
rnacentral:lncRNA from 1 species